GGCGUAAGCGCGCGCAGGCGGUUCUUUAAGUCUGAUGUGAAAGCCCACGGCUCAACCGUGGAGGGUCAUUGGAAACUGGGGAACUUGAGUGCAGGAGAGAAAAGUGGAAUUCCACGUGUAGCGGUGAAAUGCGUAGAGAUGUGGAGGAACACCAGUGGCGAAGGCGGCUUUUUGGCCUGUAACUGACGCUGAGGCGCGAAAGCGUGGGGAGCAAACAGGAUUAGAUACCCUGGUAGUCCACGCCGUAAACGAUGAGUGCUAGGUGUUGGGGGGUUCCACCCUCAGUGCUGACGUUAACACAUUAAGCACUCCGCCUGGGGAGUACGGCCGCAAGGCUGAAACUCAAAGGAAUUGACGGGGGCCCGCACAAGCAGUGGAGCAUGUGGUUUAAUUCGAAGCAACGCGAAGAACCUUACCAGGUCUUGACAUCCUCUGACCACUUGAGAGAUCAAGCUUUCCCCUUCGGGGGACAGAGUGACAGGUGGUGCAUGGUUGUCGUCAGCUCGUGUCGUGAGAUGUUGGGUUAAGUCCCGCAACGAGCGCAACCCUUGACCUUAGUUGCCAGCAUUCAGUUGGGCACUCUAAGGUGACUGCCGGUGACAAACCGGAGGAAGGUGGGGAUGACGUCAAAUCAUCAUGCCCCUUAUGACCUGGGCUACACACGUGCUACAAUGGGUGGUACAAAGGGUUGCGA
rnacentral:rRNA from 1 species